ensembl:rRNA 5S_rRNA 5S ribosomal RNA
GCUUACGGUCACACUACCCCCUGAGAACGCCCGAUCUCGUCUGAUCUCGGAAGCUAAGCAGGGUUUGGCCUGGUUAGUACUUGGAUGGGAGACCACCUGGGAAUACCAGGUGCUGUAAGCU